rnacentral:rRNA from 1 species
AGAGUUUGAUCCUGGCUCAGGACGAACGCUGGCGGCGUGCCUAAUACAUGCAAGUCGAGCGCGGGAAGCUCAACAAUCACCCUUCGGGGUGACUGUUGAGUGGAACGAGCGGCGGAUGGGUGAGUAACACGUGGGCAACCUGCCUGUAAGCUCGGGAUAACUCGUGGAAACGCGAGCUAAUACCGGAUAAAAAGUCUGUUCGCAUGAACAGGCGAUGAAAGAUGGCUUUUGCUGUCACUUACAGAUGGGCCCGCGUCGCAUUAGCUAGUUGGUGGGGUAAAAGCUCACCAAAGCAACGAUGCGUAGCCGACCUGAGAGGGUGAUCGGCCACACUGGGACUGAGACACGGCCCAGACUCCUACGGGAGGCAGCAGUAGGGAAUCUUCCGCAAUGGACGAAAGUCUGACGGAGCGACGCCGCGUGAGUGAUGAAGGUCUUCGGAUCGUAAAACUCUGUUGUCGGGGAAGAACAAGUAUCGGCCUAAUACGCCGGUACCUUGACGGUACCUGAUUAGAAAGCCCCGGCUAACUACGUGCCAGCAGCCGCGGUAAUACGUAGGGGGCGAGCGUUGUCCGGAAUUAUUGGGCGUAAAGCGCGCGCAGGCGGUCUUUUAAGUCUGAUGUGAAAUCUUACGGCUUAACCGUAAGCGGUCAUUGGAAACUGGGAGACUUGAGUGCAGAAGAGGAGAGUGGAAUUCCACGUGUAGCGGUGAAAUGCGUAGAGAUGUGGAGGAACACCAGUGGCGAAGGCGACUCUCUGGUCUGUAACUGACGCUGAGGUGCGAAAGCGUGGGUAGCGAACAGGAUUAGAUACCCUGGUAGUCC